UUCUCUGGGAAAAGAGAUUCAAGCACAAGUUCAAGAUUCAACUGACCCACUCGCAGACAGAACCAGACCUUUUCUGUGUUCAGGACCUUGGGGACUCUUCAGUUAAUCAACAUUUUUUAUGGUUCAACUCAUUUUUUUUUACAGUUUUCACCCAGAUUUCUCCCAAAAGACUCAACUUAGUGUGAUCUGACAAAAGCAGAACACCACAGAGCAAAAAAGUCUGGUCCAGAAUGUGUCAGACGGAUGAUUGUGUGGUGAAGGUGAAGCUUUUAUGAAUGCAGCUAUCACUGUUAUGACUCUUUUUCUAAUCAAUGUUCCCAGCCUUCCAGCUGGGUGUAACCUUCCUCCCUGCAAGUUUUCUGCUUGCCAACUACUUCUUUUUUUUUUUUCAUGCCUCAUCAUUUUACAGGGCCUGGGGUGCUGUUGAAAGGGAGGGAAGGAGACUUUGUUGGUGGAGGAGUGAGGUUUACUGUGGCUCAGAGCAUCUUGUUUAAACUUAAGCAGUCUGGAUGAUCACAGAGCACACACAGACACAGCCAAAUAGGAACAUAACAAGCCGCGGCUCUGAGAUCACGGGUGAAGGUCUCGCCUCGGGGAGUGUGUUUUGCACUAACCCCUCAACUAAACUCUGACCAGGGUGGCAGACGAGGGUGAGGGGUGUGUAGGAGCCACUUAGCCAGUGAGGGCGGAUCAAGAGAGGGCUACAAGCGUGGAAGAAGCCGAUGAAAGGAGCGACUCCGGUGCCGGGUCCAACCAUGAUAAAAGGAACCGACGGCUCAGAGGGAGGCCGGAAGGAGCAACUGGGCCUCAAACUCACAUGGAUCUGAGAUCGGAGGUGGAGCCGGGCUGCUGGAGGAUUCGGUCUUCCCGGGGAAAACCAGGCCAGGAUUGAUGAGGUCAAACAGCCAGCCGGUGCACAAGCCUCGCCUCCCCGCAGGCCUCCCAAAACACGCUGGGAGCUCCACCACGCUGAAGACAAAAUGCAGCUUUCCUGGAUGUCUGAGGCAGGAGCUGUGGAGAGGAACCCACAGAGAGUUAGAGAAGGAAAAGAGGCACAUUCUGUAUGUGAACAUCAGAUAUGGAAACUGUUCAAAAACAAAGGAAGAGAGCGACGUGGACGUGAUGGUUCCUUUUGUCUUUAAGGCCCAACCUGCAAAGCAUG